rnacentral:sRNA from 1 species
GCUCUACCAUCUGAGCUACAUCCCCAUCGUUGUU